GAAAUGCGAUAAGUAAUGUGAAUUGCAGAAUUCAGUGAAUCAUCGAAUCUUUGAACGCACCUUGCACUCCUUGGGUCACCUAUGGAGUAUGCCUGUUUGAGUGUCAUAUUGAUAUCAAUUCCCUCAGGUCUUUGUAAUGAAGGACUGUUAGGUGAAUUGGAUUUGGAGGUUUUAGUGCAGGUUCCCCCCCUCUGCCAUUCUAUGAAUUAGGGGGGGGGAUCAGCUCCUCUUAAAUGCAUUAAGCUAGAGUAUGAAAGCAAAGUGAGGCUCUUUAGCACUUUUUCACUUGCUAUGGUGUAAUAAUUAUUCCAUCGUGGCUUUUGAGUGAAUAAGGUGUGCAUGACUGGAGCCUCAUUUGUUAGACUUGCUCUGCUUUUCUAAUUGUCAGUCCUUGAUUGAUGAUGAUGUUAUUUGGGUCUUUUGACCUCAAAUCAGGCAGGANUACCCGCUGAACUUAA
rnacentral:rRNA from 1 species